UUUGCCAAGGUUAAUUACGCAACAAGCCCUUGAGACGGUACAAAAUUAAAUAGGAAGCCGAUUUAAUUAAUUGCACACAGAAUAUUGCAACCGUCCAAUAAUAAAAAUUUGUCAAAGAAAAGAGUCAGGCAAAACAUUCGCAUUGAAGAUAUGCGAUUUAUAGCGACAAGCAGCUUUGAAGGGCCAUCAUCCAGAGACAGAAAAUUAUAUUGAUUACUAUA
rnacentral:misc_RNA from 1 species